UCGACGGCGCCGACCGCCGGCCAGCCGACGAGCGCGAGGGCCGCUACGGCGAGCAUCCACCGGGAAAGGCGUCGAUGCCACCGGGCACUGGCCACGGCAUGUUUUCGGCAUGUUCAUCAACUUUGGUGAGGGAGAGUACAGGCUGGAAGCAACAUAUAAGCAUUUUCACCUGUGGAGAAAAGCAAAACAAAGACAAGCACAAGCUAUCUUAAACAUGUAGUUAACCAAAGCAACAAGCCAAGGUGAUGGAACUAAACAUUGGCAUGCUUGUAGUGGGUUUGGUCUUGCGAAUAUUCCAAGCUCUGAUUAUGUCUUGAGACUACUAUAAAAAAAAUGCUUUUGAAGCGCUGGCUUCUGUUUCUUC